AAGUGUGUUCACAUGGCAGGGCCAUAAAACAAAUUUCCGUAGAUGAUAUAUCGACAGACCGUAAACCCCAGUCGCCGCGCGAACCUCGUCACAGACCCAACUGAUCUAUUUUUUUUUUUUUUGAAGUUUGUGAAAUAACCAAUUGACGAUUUUAAAGAAGAAGAGAAAUGGCAAAGACCAAGCAUCAAAAAUCCAAACCCAACAAACAAUCCCAUGCUAAAAAGCACGGAAAGCAGGCUGAUAUUUCUGAAUUUCGAGCUCAGCUUGAUGCAUUGGGCUUAAAGAUUAUUCAAGUGACGGCAGAUGGAAAUUGUUUCUUCAGGGCAUUAGGUGAUCAGUUGGAAGGCAAUGAGGAGGAGCAUGAGAAAUAUCGGGAUAUGACUGUAAAAUAUAUCAGGAAUAACCGUGAUACGUUUGAGCCUUUUAUUGAAGAUGAUGUACCAUUUGAUGAAUAUUGUGAGUCCAUGGAGAAGGAUGGCACUUGGGCUGGACAUAUGGAACUACAAGCAGCUUCUCUUGUUACUCAUACCAAUAUAUGCAUUCACCGACAUAUGUCACCUCGCUGGUACAUACAGAAUUUUGACAACCGUGAAUCUCGGAUGCUUCAUCUUUCAUAUCAUGACGGAGAGCAUUACAAUAGCAUCCGGCUGAAGGAAGACUCUUGCACUGGACCAGCUAGCCCAAUUAUUAUCAAGGCUGAUGCUGAUCUUUCAGCAAAAUCUCGUGAAGUUAUAGCUGCUGCCAAGUCUAAGGGAGACACUGGUAGGAAUAUUGUUCAAGUAGGAUCGGUCAAAGUGGUUAUGGCUGGAAGUGGGUGUGAUGACAGAGAAAAAGUGAAACAGGUUUUACAACAAGUUGGUGGUGAUGUUGAUGCUGCAUUAGAAUUUCUAAUUGCAGAACAAGGAUCCGAGGACCAGUUAAAUGCAAAUGAUAACAUUUCUUGUCUGGCAAGCACUCCACAAGGGUCUCCAGGAGAGCAUGAUACCAAAUCUGGAGACUCACCUUGUGAAAAAGGUUCCUCUGACUGUAGUGCAAAAGGAGCUUCUGAUAAACAUACCUCCCAGGAAGAUGAAAAGAAAAUUCCAAGAAAUAAGGCCUGUCCCUGUGGUUCAAAGAAGAAAUACAAGUCUUGCUGUGGAUCAGUUGCUGGGAAGCAACCCACUAGCUAUACAGUCAACCAUACAAUGGAUUAUGGAAAGGGUCGGAGAGACAAAAAGCAAGGCAAGAAAGUUCCACCUGUCAAUGUUACGAGUUCAAAACAAUCUGAUGCAAGGCCACCCGACAUGGGCGCGCUUUGUAUAUAGUCAGUAUUUUGAGCAUUUCCAGACUAAAGAUCUCGGUAGACUGAAGUAUUUUCUAGGCAACGUCCAGGGCAGGUUUUCCAUGUUCAUACUCUCUUCUCCUCUGCAAUAGAAUAUGGAUUGGAUGUACAUCUUUCCUAUGGGUGGCUCUCAAACAUGAUCUGGAGGCUUGAUCUCCUAAAGUACCGUACUUCCUAUUUCAUUGUUGCUGAUUGAACUGUAUUCUGCUUUGGAGGACCAUAAGAUGCUACAGUGGGUUGUGAUCCAAGGACUUGAUUCAUUGGAAGUGAGAGAACGUAGCUGUGAGGAUCCAAGAGGAAUUUGAAUCAACUGAUUAUUGAUUUGUGAGGAAUGGACUUCCGUUCAUGUUUGGGUUUACCUCGGUAUUGGAUGGUGCAACUUGCGGAUCCUAUUUUACACUCUUCAACACAUGUGGUUUCCGGUCCUAUCUUAAUUACUCAGUUCCUUUGGUUGUUUGGAGUGAGAAGCGAAAUCAUUUUGGAGAACAGUGGACUUACACAACAAAAUCCAGCAUUUUAUACUGAGGUAUUGAACUAAAAGAAAUAUGUGAGUAUUGGAGAAAUCAAAUUGGUUGCAAGUCGAACGCUUGUUGGUGCCUUAACAGCAGUUUUCCCCGUCAUAGACUGGUCAUAUUGUUAGCUUUUAAAUGGCGUCAAUUUUUUUUUUUUUAAAACUUUUGUUAUGUUCAAGUUUUGCUUUAAAUAUAGGGAACUUGGAAUGUUUCCUUCAAGUCAUUGGUGUAGUUGAAGUUAUUUCAACAUAGUAUAUCCUCCGAUAUCCACGUUUCUUAGGAUUUAUAUUGUACAUCGACGGUCUAAUUGAUUUUCACUAUCAAUGUAACUUUACUUGUGAUGGAUCA